rnacentral:rRNA from 1 species
GACAGAGGAUGCAAGCGUUAUCCGGAAUUAUUGGGCGUAAAGCGUCUGUAGGUGGCUUUUUAAGUCCGCCGUCAAAUCCCAGGGCUCAACCCUGGACAGGCGGUGGAAACUACCAAGCUGGAGUACGGUAGGGGCAGAGGGAAUUUCCGGUGGAGCGGUGAAAUGCGUAGAUAUGCGGAGGAACACCAAUGGCGAAGGCAAUCCCCUGGGCCUGUACUGACGCUCAUGCACGAAAGCGUGGGGAGCAAACAGG